rnacentral:rRNA from 1 species
UACGUAGGGGGCCAGCGUUGUUCGGAAUUACUGGGUGUAAAGGGUUCGUAGGCGGUGUGGCAAGUUGGGAGUGAAAUCUCUGGGCUCAACCCAGAGGCGGCUUCCAAAACUGCCGUGCUUGAGUGUGGGAGAGGCUCGUGGAAUUGCAGGUGUAGCGGUGAAAUGCGUAGAUAUCUGCAGGAACACCCGUGGCGAAAGCGGCGAGCUGGACCACUACUGACGCUGAAGAACGAAAGCUAGGGGAGCAAACAGG